ensembl:lncRNA JUN-DT JUN divergent transcript
UGGUGUUACACUGAAAAACUAGAAGUUUCAAAACAGACAAGGGAAAAAGAGAAACAUCAGAAAGUCUGAUUAAAGUAGAAGCAUCAUAUUUCUAUCAACGUAUCCACUGUGCUUGGCAGGGGAUGGGCCCUUCUGCUGCAGCAUAAGAGGGG